rnacentral:rRNA from 1 species
CAGUCGCCGCGGUAAUACGGAGGAUCCAAGCGUUAUCCGGAAUCAUUGGGUUUAAAGGGUCCGUAGGCGGUCUUGUAAGUCAGUGGUGAAAGCCUAUCGCUCAACGGUGGAACGGCCAUUGAUACUGCAGGACUUGAAUUAUUGGGAAGUAACUAGAAUAUGUAGUGUAGCGGUGAAAUGCUUAGAGAUUACAUGGAAUACCAAUUGCGAAGGCAGGUUACUACCAAUUGAUUGACGCUGAUGGACGAAAGCGUGGGUAGCGAACAGGAUUAGAUACCCGCGUAGUCCCUGUCUCUUAUAC